rnacentral:lncRNA from 1 species
ACUUGUUUUUACAUAUGACUAGAACUUGUUAUUGAGUUGUUUUUGUGCUCUUUGCACACUUCACUGUGUAGUAUGUAAAUUCUUUUUAGUACAUCCAAAACUUCUAAAGCUAUGCAGCUUGUGUGGUGUUUAACUGCUUAUAACAGCUGUUUAUGAGAUAGUGUGAUCCAACCAAUAAGCAGGUUAGGAAAUGAUAAGCGCAGCAGGGUUAGUCUUUUGAGGUGUUUUGCCUUAGGGAAUAACAACCAAACUUUCUUUGCUGUGGGGACAGUGACGAGGGGAUUUUUCAGGUUUGUUUUCUGGGUUUUUUGCACUGUGCCAGAUACAAAAGGAAAAAAUGAGGUUGUAUAAGACAAUACCUACUUUCAUUCUCUUGCUUACAGAAUGAGUUAUUUCCUAUGUCAGACCUCCUGGGACUUCUCUGCCUAAACUUGGUACCACAGAAGAAGUUUUGUUCUUUUUAAUGCCACAACUGAGGAUAUUUUUGUAAAAAUAUGCAGGUUGCUGCGAACCAAACAUCUUUGCAAUCAGAGGAAACGUACAGUGUCACAUCUGGUGUCUCACCUUUUCACACUGCUGAACCAGCAACAGAUGGGAAAGAUCAUGUUCCAGCAGAACAUCUCUCAGCUUCAUUAGUGGCAGGACUCAGUAUUUGCUUUGUGCUCCUUAUUAUUGUC